AAACUUAACCAAAACCAAACAGAGAAAUUCUCUUCCUUUACAUUGAAUGAAACAUUUCCCCUACCCAAAAAAAAAAAUACAUUUGAUGAUAAAGACAAGGGAAAUAAAGAACAAAUCUUUACACACAAACCCCAAAACUCUCUUUUCAUUUUGAACAAAUAAUUGAUGUUAAGGGCAAAAAAACCCCAUGUGAUUGAAGGAAAGGCAAAGCAGAGACCAUGAGAAAGUUUCCUCAACUUCACACCCAGAACAGAACAAACACACAGAUUGCAGGUUUUAGGUUUCUUUCUUUCAAAUGGGUCUGGAAGAAAAUGUAGAAGAUAAGCAAAAGCACGCCAAGAAAGAAAGAAGAUGAAAAACAAAACAAAACCCAUCUCAUUUUUUUGAGUGACUGUUUCGGAAUGUUGUUAUCUCGAUCACAAGGAUUGGCUCUAAUUCUUUGCCUACUUACUGCUUCAUUUUCUAAAGGCUGAUGGAAAGGAUGCCAAUUCAAUCGUUAAGAAGCACUUAUGGCUUUCGUAUUCACUGCAGCCUUGCAAGUUGGAAGAAACCAACCAGAAUCUUGAAUUUUAUGGAGACGAGAAGAAUCGCACCAUCCCAGCCUAUUUGGAUGGUCCAAAGACGGCUGCAAAAGAAUAAAGAUAGCUUAUUAUAUGGAAUCUUUGGAGCCAGUGAGCUUUGAAUUUUGAGUUUGCUGUUUUGUUUUCCUCCAAGUUUUGCAUACUAGUGAAAGUUAAAGAAUUAGAAAAGUCAAGUGCUUGUGGAAUAUCCAGAGGGAAAAUUUUGCUUGUAUCGUUAAGUUUGAGAGAGAGAGAUCGUGUUGAACUUAUUCACAAUGAUAGAAAAUUUCAAGGACUGCAUAGACCAUUUUGGUCCGUCCUAAUGUUUGAUACAAUCCUAUUAUGUUGCUUAUUGUUUAUGUAUGAAUAGCAUCGAGAAGAUGCACAAGAGCUCACCGAACCCUCUGUGUGUGUGACACAAAGAUUCUCCUCUGUUUAAUAUCUGUGAUCAUUGUGUUCAUAUAAUGUCAAAACCUUUCAUUCA